rnacentral:rRNA from 1 species
GACGAACGCUGGCGGCGUGCCUAAUACAUGCAAGUCGAACGCAGUGGGGACGGGUGAGUAACACGUGGGUAACCUCCCAUCAGAGGGGAUAACAUUUGGAAACAGGUGCUAAACCGAUACUGAUGGAUGGACACGCGGUGAAUUAGCUAGUUGGUGCGGUAACGGCUCACCAAGGCCACGAUGCAUAGCCGGCCUGAUAGGGUGAUCGGCCACACUGCGACUGAGCCGCUGCCCAGUCUCGUACGGGAGGCAGUAGUAGGGAAUCUUCGGCAAUGGACGAAAGUCAGACCGAGCCACGCCGCGUGAGUGAAGAAGGUUUUCGGAUCCUAAAGCUCUGUUGUUAGAGAACAGGUAUCUAACCAGAAUACCACGGCUCACUCCGCGCCAGCAGCCGCGGUAAUAC